rnacentral:lncRNA from 1 species
UUUUUUUUUUUUUUUAAUUAUUAUUAUUAUUAUUAUUAGCAAUUAGCCUAAUAAGCCACCUUUCCCUUGCUCCGCAUGUAGAUUAACCACUUCAGAGAGUACAAAAUAAACAUUUUGCAAUGCAGGCGUGUAUCUGCUGGAAAUGAUGAGCAACCUGCUUCCGCAGAGACCCAGUCCUCCCAACAUCGGGGCUUUGCUCUCAUCAUUAGCGCCCGUGUUGGCUUUUAUUUUCUUUUAUUUCCCCUAAGACAGCUUCUUACAGCAUUCGUUAACCUGAAUUUUGAACACAAUUAAUUCUUAUUUAGGCAGCGCGUUCAGGAUGACGUUCUUUACGAGUAGCAAAAAGCAGCCUGGGAUUGUGCAGCUUCGGCGUCAAACGUCAGCGCUCAGAAGGUGCAUCCCCACCGAGAUCACACACAGGUGAGCACCCAGCACAGACCUCAGCCGUCACGAUGGAAACGAGCACGGAGAAGCUGUCUGUCCUUCUGCACGGCCAUGGCGUUUGGGUCAUUAGGCCACACCAACUCCUGUUUGCCCUGGACAUGAAUGUGCGGGCCCAGCAAUUGCUCAGCACCGAGCAUUGUCAUAUUGACACCUUUCAGCACCUCCAGCAUGGUGUAAAGAGGAGCAUGGCAUGGGGCCGGAUGCACGGGCUGGUUCACUGCUGCCUUCUGAGGUCGGCAACGUGGGUCAUGUCGGGGCCCUGCUGCCAAACCCCAUUGCAAAGCAGUGUCUGCCCUAAGGAGAGCACUGAGCACAUCAGGAGAAGAGCUCUGGUGCUCCCUGUGCAUGCACGAGGUUCUAUGGGAUGAAGACAGAAUCCAGUUGUCUGAAGGAGGCUCCUCUCCUCCAGGGCACUCUAUAGGGCCAGGGCCUGGGCUCUGCCCCUCCGUUCAGGGCACACUGUGUGUGUGAUGUAGGCAGCGAUGGGUAACAGGCAGAACGUGUUAUCACAGCUGCUGUGUGCCGCAGCACAAAGGGGAGAGCCGUGCGCUCCUUGCUCGCUGCUUGGCCUGGGGACAUUCGUGUUCUUGUUUAUACAAUAGCUCUGCUCCAAGAGCAGGAAUAAAACAUACCUUGUUUUCCCCUUCCCA